rnacentral:lncRNA from 1 species
AAUUCGCUCAAAAUCAGACGGCUUCAAAGAAGGAUCAUCAAGGUGCUUAACAGAAGUUCUUUGCCCUGCUGUGGGAUGAUUUAACCCAACUGCUGCUUCAUCAACAGUGCUCUUAACUGAGACUUGUUUCAAUUCAGAUUUCUCCUUAGUUGACUCAAGCCCCUCCUCAGAAAUAUUAGAGAUGAUUUUAUCAGCAAAACCUUUGUAAUUUUCAAAUUCAGCAAGCCCAUCCAUAACAGUCCGAGGAUUUUUAGACCUCGGAUUUGCAGAUUGGACAGACUGAUCAGCUUGAGGAGACAAAUUCCCAUCAUGAAUCUUGUCAACUGCUUCUCUAAUUAUUUGGGAAGGAUCAGAAUGUGCUUGAGACAUUAGAAACUGAGACCCAAAAGAAUCAUCAGACUUUGAUAAACGGUUCAUUUCUGCCUGCUCCCUAGGGAUUCUCUCUGAAUGGAAAACUCGCUGUGGAAUCACAGAUGGCUCAAGGCAGCUAAAGUCAUUUGGAUCAGCCUCAGAACCACCAGCACCAGAUGUAAAAGGCCCGCUAGCUGUGUAAAAGUGGUCAUCUUCAACAUUCUUUCUCCCUUCAGUUACAACUUCAGGCAAAACUACGUUCUGAACAGCUUCCUGGGUCUUUUUGAAAUUUUUUGCAGGAAAUGAAGAUGAGACAGUGUCUGGCACUGACAUGGUAACAGAUGCUUCCUCACUGAAAAUAUGGUUUGCAACAGAACUGUCAUGUGCAUUUGAAGGGACACUGUACUCUUUCUCAGAUAUCCGAACCUUUUCAGUUUCACUGAUCUUAGGGAGAGAUGCAUCUCUUUUCAUUUUUGGCUCCUUUGUUGGAGGAGCUUUGUCUAGGGAACGUACCUUUUCAGGUUCAGCAAUUUUUGGGGCUGAGCUAUCUCUUUUUAGUUUCACCUCUUUUAUAGAUACUUCUGGAUCUUGUACUUGAAAGCCCAUAUCAGCCAAACCCACCUGGGGGGUCACAUGCCCCUGGACCGGCAUCGAGACUAAACUUUCUCCAGGCAUCACAUAGUUAGAAGGUUGAGAACCAUAACUAUACUGCAAUGGAGGAGACAAAGGAACAUUACUCUUCCCAUCCAUCUGGGGAGUGGAAGACUGGCUAACUUCUCCAUGACGCAUUUUUGCCUCUGAACAUGGCUGUGAACUAGAUUCAUAAGUGUUAGAUGAACUCACCAAAACAGGUUGAGAAGAUUGUAGGGUUGACGAAGGUGCAUGAGAAGAUUGGACUGUUGAUGAAGGUGCAUGAGCUGUCAAAGAAGCAGAACCAGUAGCAGCUGCUUCACUUACAGUUCGACCAGCCUCCCUUACAAUGUUCAAACCAAGUAACUCAUCCAAAUUAUUCUCGGAAGCACUUGCUGCAAUUGAGUUUUUUCUAGAUCCUAGGUCC